UGAGUGUUCAGUGCUGAGAUUCCUGUGUU
rnacentral:piRNA from 1 species